AUCCUGUCAACCCUGUUUUUCCUAUUGAAGAAACCCCAAACCCAAAUUUCCUGGAUGUACCCAUUUCCUGGCCUGUUUUGCUUUUAUUGUUAUUUAGAGCUUGUUGCACAAAUUGCAUACAUGGAUAAGAGACACAUUUUAUGUUAGUUUAUUCCAGGAUUAGGAUGUGAUUGAGCACGAGGCAUCUUACGUGAUAGAAUUUGAAUAAUUAUGUUUAAGAUUGUAACCAGUAUGGUACGCUAUUUAACAAAAGAAGAUUGUUAACUAUUGUGAUUUUAAGCAUCACGACUUAGUGAGCUAAAUUAUUACGAGUGUCCAAGGAUUUUCCCUGUUUACGAAGUGCACCUAGUUAGUUUGGGCCUUCGGGUAGGGAAGAGUAGACGUAUGCCAAAUGCAGUCUUCCUUUUGCAUUUAUGCGAAGGAACCUGAGACUCCAGGUGCCCAAAGUUGAAAAAACCCCAAACCCAAAAUUCCUGGAUGUACCCAUUUCCUGGCCUGUUUUGCUUUUAUUGUUAUUGAGAGCUUGUUGCAGAAAUUGCAUCACAUGGAUAAGAGACACAUUUUUUGUUAUCCAGGAUUAGGAUGUGAUUGAGCGUGAGGCCUCUUACGUGAUACUGUGGUAGAAUUUGAAUAAUUAUGUUUAAGAUUGUAAACUGUAUGGUAGGCUAUCUAACGAAACAAGAUAAUUAACUAUUGCGAUUUUAAACAUCACGAUUUAGUGAGCUAAAUUAUUACAAGUGUGCAAGGAUUUUCCCCGUUUACAAAGUGCACCUAGUUACUUUGGGUCGUCGGAGUAGGGGAGAGCCAAAUGCAGUCUUCCUUUUGCAUUUCUGUAAAGGAACCUGAGACUCCAGGUGCCUAAAGGAGAAACUUACAUUCUUGCUGUGUCAUUUGAUGGCAUUAGAAGAAAAAGAAUCAAGUUAUACUUAGUACCUGGCCACUGUGGACUGUAAAGAGGUGGUGGAUAGAUUUUUGACAAUAUUAUAUUUUACUGAAUUCUGGAGGCAGUUAAUUUCAUCAAGCAUACAGAAGAGCUGACAAUGUCAUUCACUCUGCAUUAAACAGGUGAACCAUUCAAUGGGUUCUGGAAAAAAUCUUUUAUACUUCAAACCGUUAGCAUGUCUUUGAUGUGAUUGUAGGUGUCCCGUGGAAAGAGAAGCGUAUGCUUACUGCAGAUGCCAAGCCUGUAAAUAAUAAAUUGUGGGGCUUGUUUAAAAGUUUCAAUGUUUUUUCCCACUCUCGGAAAUGAUGGAUAAAGACGUUAGAAUGUUACUCAUAGGAUUUAAACC
rnacentral:lncRNA from 1 species